CAAUCAAGCGCUGAGACGUUUGCGCUCCGAGGCCCGGCGCGGUGCGCGGAGGUUGUGCUCCUCGGUGGCUCCCCGAGCCCGGGAGUUCCUGCUCUCUCGGCACUAGGGCCUCCCCGGGAAUUCACCUGACGUCCGACGUCGCUGUGAGUGGACCCACAGCUCCAGUUCAGAAAAAUAGAAGAGCUUUUGUGAGGGAACAGAAGUCUCUGGUGCCGUGGCUCCUUUGUUCCUGGUAAGGCUUCCACUGGACCCAAGCAGCUCUGCGCUGGAGUAAUGAGCACUGAGGAUACAAGAUGGUAGGACUACUGGGAUGAUGGAGCCAUGUGACUUCAUGAGGCUCUGCAGAGAGAGAAAGCACACAAGCAGGGGGAGAGGCAGAGGGAGAGGCAGAAGGAGGCUUCCCACUGAGCAGGGAGCCCAAUCCCAGGAUCCUGAGAUCAUGACCUGAGCCAAAGAAGACACUUAACCAACUGAGCCACCCAGGUGCCCCAUCUCUAACAUUCUUUCUGGAAUCCUUAUAGUCCCAGUAGGGAGUUAGGUAUCUGGUCCCAAAUUUCUCAAAAUUGCCCUCAAAAUGCUGCCUCUAUUUUUCUUCUCCCAUCUCUCCUCAACCACAUGUAGUAAGUCGCCUGAAGAGACCCAAAUGACCUGAAUUUCCCUAGCAAGCAUUUUCAAAACACUGGUUGGUCUUUACCCAAUAUCAGAAACGUGCAAAGAAAAUUCAAGUUACGUGAAAUACAACCAUCUAACAACCACAUCUAAUCUUCUGAUGUAUCUCCUCCCCCAAUCAUUUUCCUCCCAGUUUUCUAAAAAAAUUUUGAAAGAUUUUACUUAUUUAUCUGAGAGAGAGAGAGAGGGAGAAGCAGGCUCCCCAAGGAACAGGGAACCCAAUGUGGGACUUGGCCCCAGGACCCUUGGGAUCAUGACUGGAGCCGAAGGCAGACACUUAACUGACUGAUCCACCCAGGUGCCCCUAAAAAUGUUUUCAAAAUUGAAAAUAUUUUUCUUUCUUAACAUUAAUAAUGACAAUUUUCCAGUAUCUUUAGAUAUUCUGUAAAAAUAUUUUGUAAAUUGCUAAAUAGCACUCCAUCCUGCAGAGGUAUUUUAUUUUAACCAAUUCUCUGUAUACUGAAUUCCCACAUUUUAUUAUAUAAAAUUAUGAUCAACUCUUGUGCAUGUACAUCUUUGUCUGUAUCUGAUUACUUUAUUAGGAUACUCUAAGAAGGAAUAUCCAGACUAUCAAGGACAAACUUUUAAAAGGCCCUUGAGAAGUAUUUUCUAGAAAGACUACUGAUCCACAUUCAUCUCCAAAAGUCUAUUCCAGUUUGAUUUAUUGUUCUAGUAUGAACUAGGGAAACUGAAGGAACUCCAUGAAAAACUGCUUUUUGCUUAUUUUCCUGCUUCUGUUCUUGCUAGGACCUGUACUGCUGCCUUGUGUAUGUCUUAUAGUAUAAAUGAUAUCUGUUUUUCU